AUGGCCUGGACUCCUCUCCUCCUCGUGCUCCUCUCUCACUGCACAGGUUCCCUCUCCCAGCUUGUGCUGACUCAGCCGCCCUCCCUCUCUGCAUCUCUAGAAGCCACAGCCAGACUCACCUGCACCCUCAGCAGUGGCUUCAAUGUUGGCAGCUAUACGAUAUCUUGGUACCAGCAGAAGCCAGGGAGCCCUCCCAGGUAUCUUCUGUGGUAUCACUCAGACUCAAGCAAGCACCAGGGCUCCGGGGUCCCCAGCCGCUUCUCUGGAUCCAAAGAUGCCUCGGCCAAUGCAGGGCUCCUGACCAUCUCUGGGCUGCAGCCUGAGGACGAGGCCGACUAUUACUGUGCAAUCUGGCACAGCAGUGCUUCUCACAGUGACUCACACAGAUGGGGAAGUGGGACAAAAUCCUCAGCCUAA